rnacentral:rRNA from 1 species
AACGAACGCUGGCGGCAGGCCUAACACAUGCAAGUCGAACGCCCAGUAAUGGGAGUGGCGCACGGGUGCGUAACGCGUGGGAAUAUGCCCUUCACUACGGAACAACGUUUGGAAACGAACGCUAAUACCGUAUAAUGACUCCGGUCCAAAGAUUUAUCGGUGAAGGAUUAGCCCGCGUUAGAUUAGCUAGUUGGUGAGGUAAUGGCUCACCAAGGCAACGAUCUAUAGGGGGUCUGAGAGGAUGAUCCCCCACACUGGAACUGAGACACGGUCCAGACUCCUACGGGAGGCAGCAGUGAGGAAUAUUGGACAAUGGGCGCAAGCCUGAUCCAGCCAUGCCGCGUGAGUGAUGAAGGCCUUCGGGUUGUAAAGCUCUUUUAACGGUGAAGAUAAUGACGGUAGCCGUAGAAAAAGCCCCGGCUAAAUUCGUGCCAGCCGCCGCAGUAA